AUGCGCCGUCCCGUGCCCGUGCCCCUGCAGGUCCGAAUGCGCGCCCCCGCAGCGCUUCGUCUCCGCCUGCUCCACUCGGUGCCCCGCUGCUCCCGCCUCAUCGUGCCGCCUCGGCGCCUCCACUUCGGCUGCGGGCUCCCUUGCCCCGCGGCCCGCCGACUCCGGUCCCGUCCGCGCCGGCCGCUGCUGCCCCGGGCCGGCCUCCGUCUUGCCGCAGCCCUGCGCCAGCCUUCGCAAGGCUCUGCCUCCUCCGCCCGUCGAUCGGCUUCCCACGUUGUUGUGCCGCCUCCACCACCCGGCCUGCGGCCCGCUCCCGUAUCUCGACCGACGACCGGCUCCCCCGCAUGCACCGAGUCGCCGGCCACGCGCAUCCGCGCCCGGCUCGCGCCUAGCUGCAGGCUCUAG
rnacentral:rRNA from 1 species